CCCUUAGACGUUCUGGGCCGCACGCGCGCUACACUGACGAAGGCAACGAGCUUUCCUUUACCGAAAGGUACGGGUAAUCUUUUGAAACUUCGUCGUGCUGGGGAUAGAUCCUUGCAAUUUUUGAUCUUAAACGAGGAAUGCCUAGUAAGCGCAAGUCAUCAACUUGCGUUGAUUACGUCCCUGCCCUUUGUACACACCGCCCGUCGCUACUACCGAUUGAAUGGUUUAGUGGGGCCUUCGGAUCCGCGACUCGUUUGUGGAGAAGUUGGACAAACUCAGUCAUUUAGAGGAAGUAAAAGUCGUAACA
rnacentral:rRNA from 1 species